rnacentral:rRNA from 1 species
UACGUAGGGGGCAAGCGUUGUCCGGAAUCAUUGGGCGUAAAGAGCGUGUAGGCGGCCAGAUAAGUCCGCUGUGAAAUCUCGAGGCUCAACUUCGAGCUGUCGGUGGAAACUGUCUGGCUAGAGUCCGGAAGAGGAGAAUGGAAUUCCUGGUGUAGCGGUGAAAUGCGCAGAUAUCAGGAAGAACACCCGUGGCGAAGGCGGUUCUCUGGGCCUGACCUGACGCUGAGGAGCGAAAGCGUGGGGAGCGAACAGG